AAAAACUUUCGCAUAAUUUUCUAAAACAUUCGCAUAAUUUUCCUCUUUCUCUGUUGUACAUAGUUUUCUCGUCCAAGAACUACUUGACUGCUCGUUGUACUGCUGAUGUGUUCAGUCAUUCAAAAUCCGGAUCUUUUGUUCUCCCCUUCUCCGUCGUUCAACGAUUUAUUCAAUUGAGGUGCCCCUGACACUUUACACAGUAACUGAUUCCAGCCGUCAGGUAUCGGCUCAAUAUCCGUCAGCCAUGUUCUUCGGAAAUAAAUGACUCGCAUAAUCUUCCCCUCUCGAUUUUUGAACUAUAAAAUUAGUUUAAAGAAAAGGAAGAAACGAGGAAAUACGGU